rnacentral:rRNA from 1 species
UAGGGAAUAUUGGUCAAUGGGUGAGAGCCCCAACCAGCCAUGCCGCGUGCAGGAAGACGGCCUUCUGGGUUGUAAACUGCUUUUACCAGGGGAUAAAAAGAUCUUGCGAGAUUAAUUGAAGGUACCUGGUGAAUAAGCACCGGCUAACUACGUGCCAGCAGCCGCGGUAAUACGUAGGGUGCAAGCGUUGUCCGGAUUUAUUGGGUUUAAAGGGUGCGUAGGCGGCCUGUUAAGUCAGUGGUGAAAUCCAACAGCUCAACUGUUGAUGUGCCAAUGAUACUGACAGGCUUGAGUACAGACGAGGUAGGCGGAAUUGACAGUGUAGCGGUGAAAUGCAUAGAUAUUGUCAAGAACACCGAUAGCGAAGGCAGCUUGCUAGCCUGUAACUGACGCUGAGGCACGAAAGUGUGGGGAUCAAACAGGAUUAGAUACCCUGGUAGUCCACACUGUAAACGAUGAUUACUCGAUGUUGGCGAUACACAGUCAGCGUCUUAGCGAAAGCGAUAAGUAAUCCACCUGGGGAGUACGCCGGCAACGGUG